GACGAACGCUGGCGGCGUGCUUAACACAUGCAAGUCGAACGGAAAGGCCUCAGCUUGCUGGGGUACUCGAGUGGCGAACGGGUGAGUAACACGUGGGUGAUCUGCCUUGCACUCUGGGAUAAGCUUGGGAAACUGGGUCUAAUACCGGAUAUGAACUGCCUUUAGUGUGGUGGUUGGAAAGUUUUUUCGGUGCAAGAUGAGCUCGCGGCCUAUCAGCUUGUUGGUGGGGUAAUGGCCUACCAAGGCGUCGACGGGUAGCCGGCCUGGGAGGGGGUACGGCCACAUUGGGACUGAGAUACGGCCCAGACUCCUACGGGAGGCAGCAGUGGGGAAUAUUGCACAAUGGGCGGAAGCCUGAUGCAGCGACGCCGCGUGGGGGAUGACGGCCUUCGGGUUGUAAACGCCUUUCGACAGGGACGAAGCUUUUUGUGACGGUACCUGUAUAAGAAGCACCGGCUAACUACGUG
rnacentral:rRNA from 1 species